UUAUUAUUCAGUCUGCUAAAAACACACUCUGCGUGAAUACUUAGAUGUGAUCAAAGUUUUAAUUUGUAUCGGCGCUGACACUCCCCAACACCUCCGCAAGUUUGCUUUCCGUUUUUCUUUUAUUUGCAUGCAUUCAUUGUGCCAUUACAACUCUGAACGGUGCAUUUCCUCUCUAGUCUGUCAUAUGAAUUACCAAAGAGAGCGAGAGCGUUUGUCUUGUUUAACAAAUCUGAAAAUGUGUGCAGGGAGAAUGAUCAGCUGACUUGCAGAAACGCACGAGAUUAGCGGUUUUACAAAUACAUUGCUCACAUUGGAAUACUGAUAUUUGUUUAUGCAAUAUUUGGUUUCCAUGAUGUUAUGGGGAGGUUUAGUUUUGAUUAUUUUUUUUUUUUAAAAACCUAUAAAGAAUAUUGUUUGAUUUGAACCAAAAACUACCUUAGGCUAGUUUGCCAUCCUCGAUCCUUUUGACAAUGCGCGAGUCAAGUGAUGAGCUGCAAAACGCGCGCUGUUGAAACCCGCGUCUACUCGCACUGCCUUCUCAUCUAUCUAGUAUUUCACAUCUACCACCUGUGAAAUCUAACGUAGCCGUUCUUAUCACAUGCAACGACGUAUCUCUUCGCCACAAAGUAGGUUGAGGAAGAUCUCAUAAUGAUGAUUCAUUUCCGUAGAGCAUGUGCGAUUAUUUUUCUUUAUUGUGCACGGGUUGUUUUUCUCGAUCAGCUAGUCUCGUACACGCCGUGAGAAGAUCGCAGGUCCAUCAUAAACCAUCACUCACUGAUCGGGUGGAUUUCUAGUUGCUUGAGCGCAGUCGUGAAGGUUUUAGAUGGAUUGAUCGUUUCAAGGCAACCAAUGGAGAUGAGCGAAUGUAUCCUGUCUGCUGGUCCAAACUCUUUGACAUAGACAAACAGAGGCACCACUGAGGACCACCCUCUUACAAGGCCAAUGACCUUCAAUAUUGAUCCAUUUACUGUUGUGUCUCAUAUUCUGUAAUGGAAAAUCGAGAUGAUGAAGGUGACCAUCAGCAUAGCACCACAGGAAGCGAAGGGGGAGUGGCAGGAGACUGCACCCCUCCCUCCAAAUGUAAGGGCAAAUUCUCCACUCUGGGGAACAUCUUCAAACCCUGGAAGUGGAGGAAGAAGAAAAGCAGCGAGAAGUUUAUGGAAACUUCAGAAGGUCCCUUGUUCUAUUCUCUUGUGUGAAGGAAAAUAUUAGUCUUGUUGCAGCCUUUCCUUCACUUUUUUUGUUGUCUUUCCUUUGCUUAUAUGAAAUUUGUUUUUG